ensembl:snRNA U1 U1 spliceosomal RNA
AUACUUACCUGGCAGGGGAGAUACCGUGAUUAUGAAGAUGGUUUUUCCAGGGUGAGGCUUAUCCAUUGCACUCUAGAGAUGCUGAUCCCUGAAAUUUCCCCAAAUGUGGGAAAUUUGUGGUAGUGGAGGACUGUGUUCAUGCUUUCCCCUG